UAGAAGUUUGUAGUUUAGGAAGCAGGCAGUUUCUCUAGGGCUGAUCCUCCAAAGAUGAUGCUAAGCUCAGGCUAUGACUUCAGCACAAGUUGUCUCCCAAGAACAGCUCCUGGUCCAAGAGAUUAAAUCAGCAUUGUUCUGCUGAUUGCUGGAGAAGAGGGUCUUCCUAGGAGUCUUCAAGGACCUUAGCAAGACUUCUCUACUUAAUCAUUCUCAUGGAAGCAGCAAUUUAAUACUCCAAGCAGGAAGGAUGUCCCAAUUCUCUGUGCUUCAGAAGCGUCUUACUCCCUACUGCCAUUGCGAGAAAAGGCAAAGUGGUCAGGCAGCCCCUCUGAGCUCCGGAGUGAAUGAGUGAGUCACAUACCAGCAACUGGGGUCUUGCUCCCACCCAUCACACAGCAGAAUCGUAUGAGAGGGUUGAGGAAGUUGUCUGCUUCCAGCAAGGAUGCUCCCGCUGCCUUAACUCCUGGGUCUUACGAACAGAAUGUCUGCUUGCUGCCCAGAUGCUUGAUUAAAAAAAAGUCCUGUGGGAGUAAGAUGGAGUUGCAAUUACCAGCAGACACCGCCAGAAGACUCCUUGGCCUCUUCACUAGCCCAUCAGUCUUCCACAGAGCAAACCACGAUGGUCCCUGGGACACCAGCAGACAACAUUUACAACACCACAGACACUGUUUCUUGAUGUAACAGUUGCAGUUAAACAAUCUGUGCUGAAGCUGGGUGAAAGAGCAAGCAGAGCAGCUUUAAAACAUUCUUUUAACCCUAAUGGAACUCUUCUACUUGGAAAAUGUUUUGUGGCUACGUGUUCCUUCAUGAUCCUCCCACUUCAAGGUGAAAUGUUUUUUUUCAUGUUUUUCAUGAAGUGCGUGCCUCAAGAUUUCAUAGAUAUCACAAUUCUGAAAUUCUAAAUUAUAUAUUCUUUGAAACUCUAAGGAUAUCAGUCUUGUACUUUCAUUUUGGAUUAUUUCUGAUUCUAGUGAAUGAUUCUGUGUGGAUUACAGAUUUAUUUUGCCUUGUAGAUUGAAUCUUUUCGACUAUGUCUACGAUAUGUGGAAAUGUUAAUAUAAUCCACAUGGGGCAUUGCAUGAGGCAGCAGUCCUACAGCUAGGAUAGCAGGCAGUCAUAUAACUAAAGAUUGAACCACGAUACAUUAGCACAGGGAGGCUAAUUUAAUAUGACAAGGGCAAUCUGAAGCCUGACACUUUCUUGGUUUAGGACUUGCCUUUACAAAUUUUAAAUGAAUUAAUCGUAUUUGAUAAUUGCAUACCUUUUUUGUCCUAGAGAGAGGAGUCAGAGGAUACAUUUCUAGAAUAAAUAAAUUCUUACAUCUUUAGAAAAUAAAAAAGAUCUUCAGUUCAUCACUUUUCCUAAAUCAUUUCUCCAGCUUAGUAUUUGCCCUUCAUACCUACUGAUGCAGAAAGUAGAAUUUGAUAGACUGGGCAAUUUUAUUUGGCAGAGGAAAAUGUUUAUUCUUUUCAUUUGCUCUGCUAGGGAAAGAGCAGUCACAGAUAUUUCUGAGUCACACAAUCAGCUGCCCCAAAUAUUUUUAAAAUAAGA